rnacentral:rRNA from 1 species
CCUACGGGAGGCAGCAGUGAGGAAUAUUGGUCAAUGGGCGCGAGCCUGAACCAGCCAAGUCGCGUGAGGGAAGACGGUCCUAUGGAUUGUAAACCUCUUUUGUCGGGGAGCAAAAGACGCCACGCGUGGCGUUCCGAGAGUACCCGAAGAAAAAGCAUCGGCUAACUCCGUGCCAGCAGCCGCGGUAAUACGGAGGAUGCGAGCGUUAUCCGGAUGUAUUGGGUUUAAAGGGUGCGCAGGCGGAAGAUCAAGUCAGCAGUAAAAUUGAGAGGCUCAACCUCUUCGAGCCGUUGAAACUGGUUUUCUUGAGUGAGUGAGAAGUAUGCGGAAUGCGUGGUGUAGCGGUGAAAUGCAUAGAUAUCACGCAGAACUCCGAUUGCGAAGGCAGCAUACCGGCGCUCAACUGACGCUCAUGCACGAAAGUGUGGGUAUCGAACAGGAUUAGAUACCCGGGUAGUC